CCUGGCUCACGUUGAAGGCUAGCUACAGGCUUAACACAUGCAAGUCGAGGGGCAGCAUGGUCUUAGCUUGCUAAGGCCGAUGGCGACCGGCGCACGGGUGAGUAACACGUAUCCAACCUGCCGUCUACUCUUGGACAGCCUUCUGAAAGGAAGAUUAAUACAAGAUGGCAUCAUGAGUCCGCAUGUUCACAUGAUUAAAGGUAUUCCGGUAGACGAUGGGGAUGCGUUCCAUUAGAUAGUAGGCGGGGUAACGGCCCACCUAGUCUUCGAUGGAUAGGGGUUCUGAGAGGAAGGUCCCCCACAUUGGAACUGAGACACGGUCCAAACUCCUACGGGAGGCAGCAGUGAGGAAUAUUGGUCAAUGGGCGAGAGCCUGAACCAGCCAAGUAGCGUGAAGGAUGACUGCCCUAUGGGUUGUAAACUUCUUUUAUAAAGGAAUAAAGUCGGGUAUGGAUACCCGUUUGCAUGUACUUUAUGAAUAAGGAUCGGCUAACUCCGUGCCAGCAGCCGCGGUAAUACGGAGGAUCCGAGCGUUAUCCGGAUUUAUUGGGUUUAAAGGGAGCGUAGAUGGAUGUUUAAGUCAGUUGUGAAAGUUUGCGGCUCAACCGUAAAAUUGCAGUUGAUACUGGAUAUCUUGAGUGCAGUUGAGGCAGGCGGAAUUCGUGGUGUAGCGGUGAAAUGCUUAGAUAUCACGAAGAACUCCGAUUGCGAAGGCAGCCUGCUAAGCUGCAACUGACAUUGAGGCUCGAAAGUGUGGGUAUCAAACAGGAUUAGAUACCCUGGUAGUCCACACGGUAAACGAUGAAUACUCGCUGUUUGCGAUAUACAGCAAGCGGCCAAGCGAAAGCGUUAAGUAUUCCACCUGGGGAGUACGCCGGCAACGGUGAAACUCAAAGGAAUUGACGGGGGCCCGCACAAGCGGAGGAACAUGUGGUUUAAUUCGAUGAUACGCGAGGAACCUUACCCGGGCUUAAAUUGCAGAUGAAUUACGGUGAAAGCCGUAAGCCGCAAGGCAUCUGUGAAGGUGCUGCAUGGUUGUCGUCAGCUCGUGCCGUGAGGUGUCGGCUUAAGUGCCAUAACGAGCGCAACCCUUGUUGUCAGUUACUAACAGGUUCCGCUGAGGACUCUGACAAGACUGCCAUCGUAAGAUGUGAGGAAGGUGGGGAUGACGUCAAAUCAGCACGGCCCUUACGUCCGGGGCUACACACGUGUUACAAUGGGGGGUACAGAGGGCCGCUACCACGCGAGUGGAUGCCAAUCCCCAAAACCUCUCUCAGUUCGGACUGGAGUCUGCAACCCGACUCCACGAAGCUGGAUUCGCUAGUAAUCGCGCAUCAGCCACGGCGCGGUGAAUACGUUCCCGGGCCUUGUACACACCGCCC
rnacentral:rRNA from 1 species